CAGCAGUGAGGAAUAUUGGUCAAUAGCCUAACGGCUGAACCAGCAACUUGGAGGAAUGUAUAGCUAAAACUAAAUGUAUUUUGUAAUAAUACAUAUUCGAUUUAUUCGUAUAAAGUUCUAGAUAGAAUUAUGAUAAUGACAUUGUCUAUCUAUAAGUCUUGACCAAAUUACGUGCCAGCAGUCGCGGCAAGACGUAAAAGACUAGUGUUAUUCAUCUUUAAUAGGUUUAAAGGGUACCUAGACGGUAAAUAAAGCCUAAACGGGGACUAAUUUAACUAGAGUUAGAUGUAAGGGUGCAUAAACGUACUGUUGAGUGUAGAGAUGAAAUUCUUUUAUACCAGAUUAUUGGCACGGGUUUAGGCGAAAGCAUCGCCUUAUGUAAUAACUGACGUUGAGGGACGAAGGCUUUGUGUCGCGAACAGGAUUAGAUACCCCAGUAGUCUAAGCAGAAAAUGAUGAGUGUCAUAGGUUAAAUAUUAUUAUUUGGUCUAUAAAUGAAAGUGUAAGCAUUCCACCUCAAGAGUAAUUUGGCAACAUUGGAAUUGAAAUCAUUAGACCGUUUCUGAAACCAGUAGUGAAGUAUGUUGUUUAAUUAGAUAAUCCACAAAAAACCUUACCACAAUUUGAAUAUUUUACAAGCGUUGCACGGCUGUCUUCAGUUAAUGUCGUGAGAUUAUGGUUAGUUCCAUUAAAUUAACGUAAACCCUUACUUUAUUUUAUAAAAUAU
rnacentral:rRNA from 1 species